rnacentral:rRNA from 1 species
UACAGAAGGUGCAAGCGUUAAUCGGAAUUACUGGGCGUAAAGAGCUCGUAGGCGGUCUGUCGCGUCUGCUGUGAAAACUCAGGGCUUAACCCUGAGCUUGCAGUGGGUACGGGCAGACUAGAGUGCGGUAGGGGAGACUGGAACAAACGGUGGAGCGGUGAAAUGCGUAGAUAUCGUUUGGAACGCCAAUGGUGAAAACAGGUCGCUGGGGAUGAGCUGACGCUGAGACACGAAAGCCAGGGGAGCAAACGGG